rnacentral:ncRNA from 2 species
UUUCGUUCUCGGGGCGGGGUGAAACUCCCCACCGGCGGUAAAGAAUUAUUUCUAAGCCCGCGAGCGCCUUUAAGAGCUUUCUUUUAGGGUCAGCAGAUCUGGUGUGAUUCCAGAGCCGACGGUUAUAGUCCGGAUGAUAGGGAACGUGU